GAGCCCGUGGCUCAAUGGUAGAGCGUUCGACUCAAAUACCAAAGGUCGCGGGUUCGAAUCCUCAGGCGUG
rnacentral:tRNA from 1 species